GGAUUAGCUUAUCGGUCGUACCUUCUUGGUACGCACUGGUAGUUGCUAAUCUCCACCUUCUAGCGAAUCGUUAUGUCUUUUAUUAGGCGUAACGGGGAACUAGGACUGUUACUUUGAAAAAAUUAGAGUGUUCAAAGCAGGCGUUUCGCCCGGAUACAUUAGCAUGGAAUAAUGAAAUAGGACGUGCGGUUCUAUUUUGUUGGUUUCUAGAGUCGCCGUAAUGAUUAAUAGGGAUAGUUG
rnacentral:rRNA from 1 species